rnacentral:rRNA from 1 species
GAUGAACGCUGGCGGCGUGCCUAAUACAUGCAAGUCGAGCGAACGGACGAGAAGCUUGCUUCUCUGAUGUUAGCGGCGGACGGGUGAGUAACACGUGGAUAACCUACCUAUAAGACUGGGGUAACUUCGGGAAACCGGUGCUAAUACCGGAUAAUAUUUUGAACCGCAUGGUUCAAAAGUGAAAGACGGUCUUGCUGUCACUUAUAGAUGGAUCCGCGCUGCAUUAGCUAGUUGGUAAGGUAACGGCUUACCAAGGCAACGAUGCAUAGCCGACCUGAGAGGGUGAUCGGCCACACUGGAACUGAGACACGGUCCAGACUCCUACGGGAGGCAGCAGUAGGGAAUCUUCCGCAAUGGGCGAAAGCCUGAUGGAGCAACGCCGCGUGAGUGAUGAAGGCCUUCGGAUCGUAAAACUCUGUUAUUAGGGAAGAACAUAUGUGUAAGUAACUGUGCACAUCUUGACGGUACCUAAUGAGAAAGCAACGGCUAACUACGUG